rnacentral:rRNA from 1 species
UACAGAGGUCCCAAGCGUUGUUCGGAUUCACUGGGCGUAAAGGGUGCGUAGGUGGCUUGGUAAGUUCGAUGUGAAAUCUCCGGGCUUAACCCGGAAAUGGCAUUGAAUACUAUUGAGCUGGAGGUUUGGAGGGGGGACUGGAAUUCUCGGUGUAGCAGUGAAAUGCGUAGAUAUCGGAAGGAACACCAGUGGCGAAAGCGGCUUCCUGGUCCAGCACCGACGUUCAGGCACGAAAGCGUGGGAGCAAACAGGG